AAAAAGACCUUGCAGAGAGAGGCCAGCAAUAAAUUUAAUUUGAACGAUAAUGAAAGUCGCUCUGUACGCGCCAAUGUGGCUCCUUUCCCUCUCACCGGUGUCUUCUCUUCUCUCCAUCCUUUUGACGGAGCCUCGAACGCGUGCCCAAAGAAACCGCGUUUCUGCUUUGCCCCCAUUCUCCUUCCCAAACCCUAUUUCCCUCCCCUUCAGCCCCCUCGCCUUCGCCCUCUUCCCCUAAUCCCGCCCCUAGAUGUCGCUCCCCGACGCCGCCGCCUCCGCUUCAUCCUAGAGGAAUGCCCACCCUCCACUGCGUAGAAGGCCAAGCCAGGUCCACGCCUCUCAUCUUUCCCCUUAGGGUUAGGGUUAGGGUUUCUGGGUGCUUGUGAUUUCAUCUUUUAAAGCUCUUCUCUUCUUCGUCGUGUUGAGGGUAGUGACGAGAAAGUGUUCAUGGUUCCGGACGUGGAGUUGGGCCCCAGCAGCUUGGGAGGGCGGGGCGUCGGAGGCGGCCAUGGAGAUCUAGUAGAACACCGGCGGCGGGGGGGGGGGGUGGGCGAGGGCCGGAAUCCGAUGGACCGCUGCUUAGGAACAGAGUUUCUGCUCAGCAAGCCAGAGAAAGAAGAUCUAUUUGAACGACCGGAAGUGCUGCACGACAAAAUUUGGAAGUUAGAAGAAAAGAUUUCAACUUUGAUCUAUGAAAACACUAUGCUUAGGAACACCAGGCCUAAAGUUGAUGAAGGUGUUGAGCCACAAGAUGAUGUGUCAGGCAACAACAACUAGUUAUCUUGGUUAAUGUUUCAUGGAUUACUGUCAGGGAGUCAGUUAAUAUAUCAAAACUAAUACUUUUGGGAGUUUUUUAUCUCUUGAUGCGAGACAAAGCUUCUUAUGUUUAUGGUUACUUGACCAUCUCUUCCUUGACAUUUCAUUCUGCUUAAUUCAGUUGGAAACUAAGGCCUUUUCCAAUUGUCAGAGAGUUCUUUGUAAACUCUGUUUGCGUGUUGUGUUUUUAAUUCUUGUGGAGCCACCCAGUCUUUCAGCCUUGAUAGAGCUUUUUUUCUCA